CAAUAGCGUAUAUUAAAGUUGUUGCAGUUAAAAAGCUCGUAGUUGGAUUUCUGGCAUGAUGCGCCUGGCCCGCCUCGAUUACGAGUGUGUGUGCGAGCGCGCGUCUGCCAUCCAUUUGCAGAAUGUAUCUACCCUUCAUUGGGCCGGAUAUGUGAUGUAAAUCUUUUACUUUUGAAAAAAUUUAGAGUGUUUAAAGCAGGCUUUUGCUAUGAAUACAUUAGCAUGGAAUAAUAAUCUAGGACUUCGGUUCUAUUUUGUGGUUUCUAGUACUGAAGUAAUGAUUGAUAGGGAUAGUUGGGGGUGCUAGUAUUGGGCGGCCAGAGGUGAAAUUUCUUGGAUUCGCUCAAGACUAACUUAUGCGAAAGCAUUCACCAAGGAUGUCUUCUUUAAUCAAGAACGAAAGUUGGGGAUCGAAGAUGAUCAGAUACCA
rnacentral:rRNA from 1 species